UACAGGGGGGGCAAGCGUUGUUCGGAAUUACUGGGCGUAAAGGGCUCGUAGGUGGCCAACUAAGUCAGACGUGAAAUCCCUCGGCUUAACCGGGGAACUGCGUCUGAUACUGGAUGGCUUGAGUUCGGGAGAGGGAUGCGGAAUUCCAGGUGUAGCGGUGAAAUGCGUAGAUAUCUGGAGGAACACCGGUGGCGAAGGCGGCAUCCUGGACCGACACUGACGCUGAGGAGCGAAGCCAGGGGAGCAAACGGGG
rnacentral:rRNA from 1 species